AUUUCCUGAUGAUUUAAUAAUCUAUAGUCCAAUGUAUCUCAUCAUGCAAAUAUGUUUGGUGUAUGUGUUCAACUGUUCAUCAAAAAGAUUGAACUAGUCAAGAUCUUAACUAAAAAAGCAUUAAAAUAGGAUAACUUCAAAAACAGAAACAUAACCAAAGAUGGAGUGAUUAUAUUUGCUUUGUGUUUUUGUUACAAAUUAAAUAUACAUUUUAAUCUAAUAAAGUUUUUUUUUCCCCACUAGUAUUACUUAUUUCUUUCUUUACUUUACAUCCUAGUAUUGUACUGUAACAUUGGUAAUUGAAUUAUUAUUUUUGGUUUUCAGCUAUGCGUGCACCAUAUUGCGUACCACAACCACAAAGUCAUGAAAUAAGCUAUUACCCUCAAAAUCCAAAAGUGCUUCUACCUGCAGUAGGUUAUAGAAGGAACCAUGCUGAGAAAGUUAUGUCAAACUCAAAUGGCAUGUCAAAUAUCUGCAAUAGUCCAAUGGUAUAUAAUGAAAACAUGCAACAGAGAAUCCUAAACCCUAAUUAUGACUUUGGUUACAGUAAUCAAGAAACAUUGGAUUUGUUUCCUCUGCAUCCAACUGGCAUAUUGGAAGGGAAAUCAACUGACCAGGUGUCUUCUAUUGUUUCAGUUUCUGCUGAUAGUUCCACUGAUACACAUUCUGGUUCUUCUCAUCAUGAGAUCAAUCAAGAUCAUGGUUAUAAUGGGAACAAACCCUUCUUUGACUUUUUUAAUAAUUCUGCAGGACAAGGUUCUUAGGAUAGUUUGCAAGUUUUUUUUAAUGUUUUCUUGCUAUAAGUACAAACAUGCAAUUUCUAGUUUUCCACAUUUUCUUAAUCAAUGAAAUUAGUUUAUGUUCUUUAGUUUAUUAGUAGUACUAUAUUUUAGUAUUUCCACCUUUUUUUAAUUUAAAGAAAAAUUAAAGUACUAUAUAUAGAGUUGACAUAUUAUGUGAGUAUGGAGUAUUUUAUUUCCAUGUUUCAUGCACAACGUCCAUCCAUAAAACAAUUCUUUUUGCAGGCUUUGAAAACAUAGAAAUUGAAAUAUAUGUUUCAGUUUGUGCAUGCCACUUAUUUUAUUGGUGGAAAUGGAAAAGAACAACUAGCAAAUGGAGAAAAUUUGAGAACAAACAUAACACUUGAUCCUUAUUGACAUAUAUUUUUUUUAACAUCAAACACAAAUUUUAUUGAUCCUUAUUGACAUAUUUGGAGAUUUUUUUUUUUUUUAUUUCUAAAGUAAGAAUUCAUUCACCCAAACAAAUCUUUCUACAUUUGUAGUUAAUACACAAAUACUUGGCAAAUUUAAUUGGCGGACAAUCAUCAUCAAUUUGACAUUCAAUAAGUGCUGUAAUAAAAAAGAGAAUAAAAUAUUGUUACUAAGAAGAUAUAAAAAGACUAUGUAAGAUUAAAGAAGGAAAUUCGAAAGUCGACCAAAAAAAAAAAUAGGAAAUUUGAAAACAAUGAAAAAAUAGGUCACAACUCACCGCUGUCUAUGUUCGUUGCCAUAAGAAAUAAGGAAAGAAAUAUAAUCAUAGCAUACACAAACUUAAGAGUUUUAGCCAUAUUUUCCUAUCAAACCAUGUAGCAAUAGAAUAUUAUUUGAUCAUUUUAUAGUGUAUAAAGUGCAUGUUGAGCUAAAUACAUUAAAAUACUUUUAGAACUUAAGGUGCUAUAAAAAAACCUCUCUAAAAUUAGAACUGAUAUUAAGUGUCUCUUAAAAACAUUGAGGGGUAGUGUUUGACCCUUUAUCACAAUUAAAUGUUAUUUGCAAAUAAUUAGAUUUCAUUCUUUUUUUACUUAACUUUUCAUCUUUUGAUGAUAGAAAGGGGAAAUUUAAAAAUAAUAAUAAUGCACAAUCUGUGUGACAAAUAUUUACGUACAAGUUUUUUUAUAAGAAAGUUACGUACAAGUUAAAAAUAAAUCAUUUGACCAUAGGCGAAUGAAUAUAAAAUUUUGUUGUUACAUGAUUUUUCCAACAUUCUCAUUCACAAUGAUAUAAAAAAUAUAUUUGGAUCUACGAAAUCACACUACAUUUUUUAAAGAGACUUCUUAUUGGUGCUUUGUAAGUUCCUAAUUUGAUUUGUCCCUAAACCAAGUGUAUUAAUAUACAAAAUAAUUCGGUAUUGAAUACUAUAUAAAACAAUAUUUUGAAAAGAUUUUCUUUUUUUUAAGACAUAAACUCCAAGUGCGAGUCUUCGUGAACUUACCUCAGUUGGUAGGGACAAUGCAUAAAAUAUACAAAGUUCGGGGUUCAAAUUCCGACCACCACAUAAAAAAAAAAAACUCAAAGUGCGAAGACAUCAUUGUGAUGAGCUGACAUCCCAAAUAUGUUGACACCCUAUCAAAGAAUAAGCAUUUGCAAAACCUUAAUAAAUACAUAUAAAUCAUAUGAAAAAGAGAAAAUAAGGGGUGUCAAAAAGCAAAACCCACGAACAAAAAAUUUGAGGCCAAAUCUAUCGCAACAUACAUCAUCAUGAAAUUUUAUAGAAAUUUGCUCUUUACCCAACAUUUUUUUGCUUGUUCCCAACUGAAAAGACAUUUUUAUUCCUACAUGAGUUAACUCACGCUCCCCAUACAUGCAACAUGAGUUAACUCUCGCACCUUUAGCCGGUAGUUCAUGCACUAAGAACACGUUUUUUAGACGGUAGUCAAUGCAUUUUAAUGGUUUUUACACUUUCUUUUUUACACGUUUUUUGACCUCAUUAAGUCCUAUGUUACCUUAAACCACCUAUAAAUACCAUCCUCCUCUUCACUAUUUCUCACACCAUUUCUCACAUUCUCUCCUCCUCACUCUCCUCCCUCCUCUUCCUUCUACAACAACAAUGUUGUUUUUCCAUCCUUGAAGAUUUCAAGAGGUUGUUUUGAGUUUGAGAUUUUGGUGAGCAGCCUUCUUGAGGUAAAAUGAAGUAGAUGUAGUUUUACCCCAAAAAGGUUGUCGUAGAUGUAGUUUUACCCCAAAAAUGUUGGGUUGAACAACCUUUUUGGGGUAAAACUAAAUCUGCACCAUUGUUAAUGUAUCCAUUAUAUUAAUAAAAUGAGAUUUUAUGUCUAUUAUUUUGGUUUAUAUUUGCAUUUAUUUUAUGAUUGUGUAUUGAAUAAAUAAAUUCGAAUAAAGUGAAUUCAAAUAAAGGUUGCGUAUUAAAUAAAUAAAUUCGAAUAAAGACUAAUUAAACCUAUCGUUAAUUCAAAUAAAGUAGCGUAUUGAAUAAAUUCGAUAAAAUUUGCGUA
rnacentral:lncRNA from 1 species